rnacentral:lncRNA from 1 species
UCCCAGAAGAAUGAGAGACAUCUCAGGCAAGCCCAAACAAAACUUGUAGUUUAGAACAAAGCUUGGUGAAACUCAGCCCAGUUGAGCUGAUACCAGCCUACCCAUAGUUGGAUGAGUGAGAAGUAAAGGCUCGUGUUAUUAUGUCUUGGUGAUAAUUGGCAUCUGGGGACUGCUGCGACUUUCGUGUGCUUUUCUCCCAAGCAAAUGGCUUUUCACCUUGGGAAGGAGGUCUAUUUACUUUUUAUUUGAAAAGGAAUUGUUUUUGUUGUUUUCCUAAAGCUGGAGAGUGAAGGAAGCCAUCCUUGAGGAGUCAAGAUAAACUUCGGAUGUAAGGUCUGUUGAUUUAAAGUAGCUUCUCUCUCUCUGAGACAGUAAUAUAAAUGAAGCAU